rnacentral:lncRNA from 1 species
UGGGAUGUUCCACCCCCGAUGUGACCAUGAGGAGCCGGUGAUAGAGCUUGGCCAAAUAUGGGUGGAAAACCCCAGGAUUUAGAGAAGCUCCUGGGAAAAUGGUCAUGGGUGCCAAGGGGAGUUCACAAAUCCAUCCUCACCCCUGGCAAAGCUCCGUGUCCCAGCAUUCCCUGAUCCCAAACCGCCUCCCCGGGCUGAGGUUGGCAGGAAAAUCAUCAUUCCUGCUGAAAAGAAGGAGGCAACAGGGCGAGCACAAACAGCAUUUACAUAUCCUUAAUUCUAUUUUAGCACCUCCCGGGCUAUUUUUGUCGUGGCAGAAACACAACAGGAGUGCAAGGCCAGAGAAAGGGCAAGGAACGGCUCGGAAUGUGGGACAGAGAGAGAGAAAAUAAAUCCCUGGCGUGGGAAUGGCUGAGACCUGUCCCGCCCAGGCUGUGUCCGUGGUUUGUUCCUCAGCUGGGCAGGACAAAGGGACACAAAUGCCACCGAACAGCCCUGUCCCGUGUGCAGUGGGGGACACAGGAGGGGACAGUCACCACAUCCCGGCUUUUCCUCGCUGCCUGGCCGGGAACAGCAGCGGGGAAGAUCCAGGUGCAGGGGGGACAUUCCCGGAGCCGGAGGGGACAGGCCAGCCCUGGCUCCGCAGCAUCCUCGCCCGUUGCCAGGACAACGGGAUGUGAUGGAGCCACCUCCAUCAGGGCCGGCUCCGGGAUGUCGGGAUGUGGGGGCAGCGGCACGCGGCAGCUUUGGGGUGCUGGGGGAGCCCCCCGGUCUCGGUCCAUACGAGAACCCCCAAGAGCCACCUGCACGCAGCGGGCACGGACAGGGAUGUGGCACAGCGGGAAAAGCGGGAUGGAACCCGCUGGGACAAGCCCGGAUCCGGGUGGGUCAGACAUGGCACAGCACAGCCCGGGGCCCGACUGCCACAUCCCGGUGCCUCUGCCCCUCCACCGACACAGGGCACGGCCCCGGGGCUACCGGAGGGUCCCCUGUGCCCCACGGCCUCCCAGCGCCUCGGGCACAGGGGCUGGCAACGCCCCGAGGCUCCGGAGCAACCAGAAAGCUUUUAGGGCAGCCGAUUGCUUUUUAUGGAGCCGGAGGAGCUUGGGGAGCCGCACAUAAAACACAAGCAGAGCUGUGAAUUCCCAGGAAAUCAGCCCCCAGGAAGAGUUCUGCCCACUGUGGGGGCACUGGGACACAAAGAGUGACCCCAUGGAUGGGAGAAAAUGAGUUAUUUUUCCAUGAAUAAAGCAAAUAUUUCUCUUCUCCA